UACGUAGGGGGCAAGCGUUAUCCGGAUUUACUGGGUGUAAAGGGUGCGUAGGUGGCAGGGCAAGUCAGAUGUGAAAGCCCGGGGCCCAACCCCGGUACUGCAUUUGAAACUGUCCGGCUGGAGUGCAGGAGAGGUAAGCGGAAUUCCUAGUGUAGCGGUGAAAUGCAUAGAUAUCACGCAGAACGCCGAUUGCGAAGGCAGCAUACCGGCGCCCAACUGACGCUGAGGCACGAAAGCGUGGGGAUCGAACAGG
rnacentral:rRNA from 1 species